UACGAAGGGGGGCGAGCGUUGUUCGGAUUUACUGGGCGUAAAGGGCGCGCAGGCGGCUUUGUUUGUCAGGCGUGAAAGCCCCCGGGCUUAACCUGGGAACUGCGUUUGAUACGGCAGGGCUAGAGUUCGGGAGAGGAGAGUGGAAUUCCCAGUGUAGAGGUGAAAUUCGUAGAUAUUGGGAAGAACACCCGGUGGCGAAGGCGGCUCUCUGGACCGAUACUGACGCUGAGGCGCGAAAGCGUGGGUAGCAAACAGG
rnacentral:rRNA from 1 species